rnacentral:rRNA from 1 species
AGUGAACGCUGGCGGUAGGCCUAACACAUGCAAGUCGAACGGCAGCACAGUAAGCUCUUGCUCUUACGGGUGGCGAGUGGCGGACGGGUGAGGAAUACAUCGGAAUCUACUUUUUCUUGGGGGAUAACGUAGGGAAACUUACGCUAAUACCUCAUACGACCUACGGGUUAAAGCAGGGGAUCUUCGGACCUUUCGCGAUUGAAUGAGCCGAGGUCGGAUUAGCUAGUUGGCGGGGUAAAGGCCCACCAAGGCGACGAUCCGUAGCUGGUCUGAGAGGAUGAUCAGCCACACUGGAACUGAGACACGGUCCAGACUCCUACGGGAGGCAGCAGUGGGGAAUAUUGGACAAUGGGCGCAAGCCUGAUCCAGCCAUACCGCGUGGGUGAAGAAGGCCUUCGGGUUGUAAAGCCCUUUUGUUGGGAAAGAAAAGCAGCAGGUUAAUACCCCGCUGUUCUGACGGUACCCAAAGAAUAAGCACCGGCUAACUUCGUG